CAGCCGUAAACUAUGCUCGCUAGGUGUCAGGCAUGGCGCGACCGUGUCUGGUGCCGCAGGGAAGCCGUGAAGCGAGCCACCUGGGAAGUACGGCCGCAAGGCUGAAACUUAAAGGAAUUGGCGGGGGAGCACAGCAACGGGUGGAGCCUGCGGUUUAAUUGGACUCAACGCCGGGAAGCUCACCGGAUAAGACAGCGGAAUGAUUGCCGGGCUGAAGACUCUGCAUGACUAGCUGAGAGGAGGUGCAUGGCGUAGACGUCU
rnacentral:rRNA from 1 species